rnacentral:tRNA from 1 species
GCAGUGGUGGUUCUAUGGUAGAAUUCUUACCUUUCAUGUAGGAGAACUAGGUUUGAUUCCAGGCCAGUGCA